UGCUCGUUCUUUUGUCGGGUCUCGCUCCAACACUAACACAGUAGUAACACAACAAAUUUGUCAACAUCUUCUUAUCUUAUCUUAUAUAAUACAGACGUUACUUCAAAAAAGAAGAUGAUUACGUCCUACGCGUCAUGCAUUUAGUCAUGCAUAUUAACCAAUGACUUAAAUUCUGCCAAGUCACUGGUUUUCCUGGCUAGCUCAGGCAACCCAUUCCAUGCUCUAAUAGCACUAGGGAAGCAAGCAUAAGUAGAAAUAAGCCUAUCAUCUUGUAUGUAGACAUACCAUUAUCAGGUAUUUAAGCAUCAAAAAGUUUGUAGACAUGAACAAUAACUAGACUUCAAAAAAAGUCUGUAAUCAUAGGCUAUCAACUAUUUUCUUCCUUGUAAAUACAUUUUUGUCUAUACAAGUUGUAUUUUUCAACAUAAUAUGUAGUGAAUUUAUGAAGAUGUUGUCACUUAUACUUAACAACUGUAUCUCUCCUAAUUAACGAUACCAUCGUUGAUUUGACGCCAUUAAAUUUAAUUAAUUUUUGGUUUUAUAAACUUUAUUUUUUUUUGUUAUAUAAAAAGAGCAUGCAUUCUCAUAUAAUUCUAUACCAAAAGUAAUGUUUUCAGGAUAGAAUGUACAAAUGUGAAAAAUGAACAAUUCAGUCAGAACAUGGAAAAAUAAUUACGGAGAUAAAGAAUUAAUACUCUUACGUGAUAUGAUUGACUGGUUUUGUUAUUAGCAUCUUAUGAACUUACAAUUUUUUUAUAUUUCAGAUGUUUUAAAAUCCCAUUGGUAUGUCUAUAUUUUUCUAUACAAUAGCAGUCAUCCAUAAAUCUUAUUUUACGGACUGAUACGCAAAUGAACUACCAAAAUAUCAAGCAUAUUAAAGUCUGAACAGUUAAACCUCCAAUCAAAACAUACUUUGAAUGUCAUAUCAAAUUCGAAGUAGAAUGAAUGACACGACAUAGUUAUCAUGCGAGAGCGUCUCAGAAGGGACAGGCCAGGACUGAACAAAUAUACACAAUGGCAAGCUUGAGAAACGGCAACUCAGUCGCCAUGACACCAGGAACACUGACACUGCAAUAUCUGUUCUUGAUAUUAUAUCCUUAAUAUAUCCUUUAAGUGGCAGGCUGAUUGUAACUGUUGGUUUGUGUGUAUCUUUAGACAUCACAUGAUCCUUCUUCCCAAUAUAAUAUAUAUAGAUCUAGGUCUUUGUUCUGAACUCACAUUUUCUUACAUAGGUAAUAAAGCCAAAAAAAAAAAAAAAGGUUAAGAGUAAGAUCACAGACCUACAUAAUCUAGAUUAGAUUUUCGAAACGCGACAUAUUUUGUUAUCUCUAUGGAAACUAAAUGGAAAUAAGUUAUGAUUAUAUCAUAGAUUUGCGUGAAUAUAUUUCUGAAGUUGUGAUUAAUAGAUCUAUCCACUUCUAGACUAGAUCUAUUUUAAAUCCGCGAAAUAGGAUUGUACUAUUUUUUAACUUUAAAAACUAAAGAUCAUUAUUUUUCUGAGACGUAACUACAAAGAGUAAGACUAAGAGUGAUAAUGAUAUCCUGGAAUGCUGGAUUAAGUUUAAGAUCCAAAAGGCCAAGGUGAAUUCCCUUCUAACUUCUUCACAACACAAAUUGUCGUAUUAGAUCUAGAUCUAUAAGAUGAAACCAUGUUGGUCAUUAGUCAUUGAUGUUUAAAAUUGUAAUAGCCUACUAGAGUCUAUCUACUAUCUAGUAAGCCAUAGAGUUGAUAAAGUAAGCUUACACUGUUACACUAGAAACAAACAAAUAAGUUUAAAAGUCAGGCCACUGAUUUUAGAGAUUUAAUGUUAUUUAAUUAAGAUUCAAAACAUAAAUGAAAAAAUUACAAUGAGACUAAUAAAGCUUAAACUGACCCCAUGGUACCAAACUCAGGAUUUUUUUAUAGUACUGGUAACUGAGGAAGGUUUAUUACAGGCAUGAGUUUGAUCUUUUUGAAACUAAUUCCUAAAAAAAAAUGUUUCCUAGGCAACUUCAAAACUACGGUACUUUGUCAACUAUCCAGAGAUUCAGGGGAAUGAAAUCUUAGACUAUUUAUUUAAGAUGUUCCUUCAGAGUUGAAAACAACUACAUUCUAGCUUGAACGUCCCACAAGAAGAUGUGGGGUGGCAGCAGGCAGGGGUCUAACCUAGGAUCAUGGAGACCACCAAACGAUAGUCCAGAGUGUAUAUGAUUAAUUGAGUAGACAAAGAAGGGAUGGAUUACUGGAGCUAAAAGAAGGCAUAAUUUAACAAUAGACUACUUUGGGAUAUGGAAUGAGAGAGGCUAUAGUGUUGAUUAUAUAAAUAUGUAGGUCUCAGCUGGGGCUGCACAGCCAUGGGAAAUACUGCAUUCCUAACUUAUCUUAGGACUUAUUAUAAAGCUGCCAUUAUCCAAGGACAUAUGAUUCUCUGGAGGCUUACAUCACUGGAAAAAGUCUUUGGGCCCCUGAAGAUUACAGAACAUGUAAUGCUGCAAAAGGAGGAGAAUGCUGGGCCAGGGUAAACACUCCAUAACAUAAUGGCAUAGUGAAUGAAAUAACAUUUUAUUUUAGUGUAUAAUAGUUGUAAUUUUAGUCUAAAAUAUUUAAAUAAAUGUUACAGUAUAAGCCAGUUCCUGAAUUAGCUUGUCACAAUGCACAUUCAGCCAAAGUUAAAAAUUCUUGAAUAAAGUUAUCUCUAUUGUACUUAAGCUAGCUAUAUCCUGUAUAGGCAAAAGAUUGGCAGCAAUUCUCUCUGCAAAUGAUGAUGUGCUGAUUCAUAAUGGAACAUUUGAUUUUUUUAAAGGGGGGGGGGGAGGACUUGUUAAGUGGUUAAGUGCAGCUAUUUUGAGCUAGAGUUUUCAGGUUCAAAUCUUGGUCAAGAUUGUUUUUGAAUUUCAGGAUCAUAGAGUGCCUCAAGUCUGUGCAAUUUUAAUGACAUUAGUUGGGGAGAGUAAAGAAGGUUUAUCAUUGUGCUGGCCAUAUCAUGAUACCUUUAUAACUGUAGGCCACAGAAACAGAUGACAUUUACAUCAUCUGCCCUAUAGAUUGCAAGUUUUAAAAGGCAUUCUUAUUACAUUUUUAUCCGCAACUAUUCUAAAAAUUAUAAUCAUUUUUUCAGACAUUUUUUUCUUUUCUGAGCCACUAAAUUGAUGAUUAUGUUAAAUCAACAAUUGAUUUUAAAAUAAUAUUUCUGAUUUACUUUGAUGCAAGAAAAAGCUAAUAUUAUAAGCAAUACUUACUAUAGUCA